CCUACGGGAGGCUGCAGUGGGGAAUAUUGGACAAUGGGCGAAAGCCUGAUCCAGCCAUGCCGCGUGUGUGAAGAAGGCCUUCGGGUUGUAAAGCACUUUCAGUGGGGAAGAAAGCCUUGGGGCUAAUACCCUCGAGGAAGGACAUCACCCACAGAAGAAGCACCGGCUAACUCCGUGCCAGCAGCCGCGGUAAUACGGAGGGUGCGAGCGUUAAUCGGAAUUACUGGGCGUAAAGCGCGCGUAGGCGGUCUGAUAAGCCGGUUGUGAAAGCCCCGGGCUCAACCUGGGAACGGCAUCCGGAACUGUCAGGCUAGAGUGCAGGAGAGGAUGGUAGAAUUCCCGGUGUAGCGGUGAAAUGCGUAGAGAUCGGGAGGAAUACCAGUGGCGAAGGCGGCCUUCUGGACUGACACUGACGCUGAGGUGCGAAAGCGUGGGUAGCAAACAGGAUUAGAUACCCUAGUAGUC
rnacentral:rRNA from 1 species